rnacentral:lncRNA from 1 species
CUUUACUGUUAAUACUCCCACUGAAUUUGCAUAUUAGCUAAAUAUUUCGUUUCACCCGUGACAUUUAGAUUUAACAUUUAGAUAACGUAAAAAAAAAAAAAAAAAAAAAAACUCAAUUUUUUUUUUUUUUUUUUUUUUUUUUUUUUUUUUAUUUCUAAACAUGGUUUGCUGCUAAAUAUUGCAAAAAGUUGCUGUUUAUUUUAGCAUGCGUAACUUUGCAAUCGGCGCCCCAUAUUAGUGGUAAAUUAUAGGUCGAAUUGUAACAGAAAUUAAAGUGUCACAGUUCAAUUUUCCAUCACCAACUAUAAAGUAAAGAGUUCACCACUUAUUGACCAAAUAAAGCUCGAUCAUUCUGUGUCCAUACUAGUUUAUUGCGCACAGAAGCACAUGAGUGUCUGUCAUAGCACAGCAGUAGCAGACGGUAGUGAUCCUAAGACUUGUUGCCCAUUCGGCAGUAGGAGGGAGGGAGGGAGGGAGGGAGAGAGCGUCCCGGAGCUGUCAAACCCUCUCUAUGGACGAACAGCGACACUUUAAUCCAUCACAAAAACAACUCGCAAGAUUAUCCUUUAUCUUCAUCGUGGCACAGGUACUACUUCCUCGCCUCUGCACCCGGAAGCCUGUGUUUUUUUUUUUUUUUUUUUUUUUUUCUAACAUCAUCAUCAUCAUCAUUUUGUCACAUGGCUUUGGAAGAAUUCAAUAACAACAAAAAAUGGCGACAAUCACGUUGCUUCGUGUGCUCUUGCUGCGUCAUUAAAAAUAUUCAUGCAGACAACAGGGAUUCGAGGGGGAACCUGCAGCGGAGCUAAUGGAGUUGUUUACAUCAAGUGCGGAGGGCGGACUGAAGGGGGCGGAGCCUCACCACAGAGGCGAGGAGGCGGAGCCUGUGAGGAGAUUCACAACAAGUUUGACGUCACUCGGUCUGGUGGUGAGGAGGAAGAGGAAUACCACAGGUAUCAUAUUAAAAUCCUACACAAUAUUUAUCCAACCAAUCUGUAUUUCUCCAAAUGUUUAGACACAUACAAUAAAUGCAGUUUUUGUUAUAUUAAAUCAAAUAGAAAAUUACUUAAUUAUAUUCAAUUUAAUUGUAAAUGUAUCAAUAUGUACUUUGAACGUAAGAAAUAAUUAUGUGAAUUUAAAGGAUAUAAGACUUUGUCCCAUAUUCAUACAAAAAAAAAGCAUAAAAACUGUGGCAAUAUGUAACAAUAUUUUUGAAGUAGAAUAAUAACUGAUUUAUCUUUUUUAUUUUUUUAUUUUAAUUAUGUAUGUAUGAUUCUUGUUUGCUUGUCCCCUUUCUGUAUCUUUGUAUAGUGUGCACUUCUGUCUUGUAAAUUUGUAUUUUUCAAAUAAAUGAAAAAAAAAA